rnacentral:lncRNA from 1 species
GGACUACUACAGUGCUCUUUAUUGGAACAAAAAAGAAUUCAGCCCUUUAGGUGGACAAUUAAAACAUUCCAUCAUUUUUUUUUCUCUCCCUCCAGAAUCAAAACAUUUAAGUCAUUUCUGCUUUAGAAAGCAGGAUGUUUUCAUAUAAUUUUAUGAGCAAAAUAAGAUGUUUCGAGGUAAUAGUUUGCCUUAUGUCCUUUUAAUAUGUUGCAGCCAUACCUAAGUCAAAAUUGCUUAAUGCAAAAUUUAAAAAAAAUCAUAAAUUUGUUUUAGAAAGGCUUUUAAACAAUCACAAGAAUUUCAUACAAAAUAUAUCGUAAAUGCAAACCACCCAGCAUCAU